UACUCUUCGGGGUUGUAGGACUGCAAUGUGGACUCAAAGAUUAUAGAAGAAUGAUUUGGGAAGAUCAGCCAAAGAGAGUAAUAGCCUCGUAUUUAAAAUAGUCUUUGUACCUAGCAGUAUCCUGAGUACGGCGGGACACGUGAAAUCCCGUCGGAAUCUGGGAGGACCAUCUCCCAACCCUAAAUACUCCCUAGUGACCGAUAGUGAACCAGUACCGUGAGGGAAAGGUGAAAAGCACCCCGGGAGGGGAGUGAAAUAGAACCUGAAACCGUGUGCCUACAACAAGUUCGAGCCCGUUAAUGGGUGAGAGCGUGCCUUUUGUAGAAUGAACCGGCGAGUUACGUUAUGAUGCGAGGUUAAGUUGAAGAGACGGAGCCGUAGGGAAACCGAGUCU
rnacentral:rRNA from 1 species